rnacentral:rRNA from 1 species
ACGAACGCUGGCGGCAUGCCUAACACAUGCAAGUCGAACGAGACCUUCGGGUCUAGUGGCGCACGGGUGCGUAACGCGUGGGAACCUGCCCUUAGGUUCGGAAUAACUCCCCGAAAGGGGUGCUAAUACCGGAUAAUGUCUUCGGACCAAAGAUUUAUCGCCUUUGGAUGGGCCCGCAUUGGAUUAGCUAGUUGGUAGGGUAAAAGCCUACCAAGGCGACGAUCCAUAGCUGGUCUGAGAGGAUGAUCAGCCACACUGGGACUGAGACACGGCCCAGACUCCUACGGGAGGCAGCAGUGGGGAAUAUUGGACAAUGGGCGAAAGCCUGAUCCAGCAAUGCCGCGUGAGUGAUGAAGGCCUUAGGGUUGUAAAGCUCUUUUACCCGGGAUGAUAAUGACAGUACCGGGAGAAUAAGCUCCGGCUAACCCCGUG